GGAGUAAAAGUCGUAACAAGGUUUCCGUAGGUGAACCUGCGGAAGGAUCAUUAUUGUAUAACCGAGGUGCGAGGGCUGUCGCUGACCCGAAAGGUCGUGCACGCCCGAGUGCCCUCACACACAUCCAUCUCACCCCUAUGUGCACCACCGCGUGGGUCCCCCUUUGGCUCGUUCGGAGGGGGGCUUACGUUUUCACACAAACUUUGUAUGCAGUGUAGAAUGUAUUUUUUGUUUUUGCGAUCACGCAAUCAAUACAACUUUCAACAACGGAUCUCUUGGCUCUC
rnacentral:misc_RNA from 1 species